AAGGAGUCUAACAUAUAUGCGAGUAUUUGGGUGGUAAACCCUUAUGCGUAAUGAAAGUGAAAAGGUGGGAUCCGUAAGGUGCACCAUCGACCGCGCCAGGUUAUUACUACCUCGGCGCGAGUAUGAGCAUACAUGAUGGGAACCGAAAGAGGGAGAGCUAUGCCUGAACAGGGUGAAGCCAGAGGAAACCCUGGUGGAAGGUCGUAGCGAUACUGACGUGAAAAUCGUUCGUCUGAUUUGGGUAUAGGGGCGAAAGACUAAUCGAACUAUCUAGUAGCUGGUUCCCUC
rnacentral:misc_RNA from 1 species